UUCAUGGUGUCUCCUGCUGGACUCACUGUAAAUGACAAAGCUGCAUUUAUAGGCUAAAUGUUGGACAGGAAUGUCCAGCUUAAGGCUGAGGAAUUUCUCUGCAGGGGGGUUACAGGAAAGUGUGGGUGGUGUGUUGUUGUUGUUGUUGUUUUUUAACUUUCUGGUCUUGGCAGUUAACAUUUAAUGUAACACAUCACCAUGAAUUACUGGGGGAGGCUCUCCUACAGUACUCAUUAGCUUAUUAGAAUGAACCAACUCUUCCGGCUGAUUGUAAUUGUAGAAUGAUGACAAAAAUAACCAUAAUCAUAAACUGAUGUCCAUUUAAUCCUGUCUUUUGUAAUAUUUCAGCUUGCCCUCCCCUAAAUCUGGAGGAUGGGGAUGAGAACUUGGAACUAAAAGGGAAACCUCAGCCUCAGGAAAGCCAUCCUCUCAGCCCACAGUGGCUUCCACUUGGAUGCUCCGCUCUGUAUCUGGUCCAUCACUUUGUCUUUCUCGAGAGUUUUCUCACUGAGCUCUCUGGUCAUCCUCCCACCUCACUGGCCACACCUUCAGCUUCACUGAAUGUUACUCUCGUUAUUGGCCUCUAAGGCUUCGAGUGCCCAAACUCUUCUCUGAGAAGGACCCGGGUGCUGGGAUAGUUCUGCAGGCACCUUGUUCCAGCACCCUGGCUCUAUUGCCACUCUGAGUGCCAGUACUUGUGCCCUGGUGCAAAGAAUCCCCUCGUCUAGAACUCAUUCCCACAGGCAGAAAAGGAGAACAGGAAGAUCCCAGCAGCCUUUGCCUCCAAGGCCUCAAAGAGCCCUAAUGAUCUUCAGGACCCCCAGAGACUUGGCUAAAGAAGACUUGGCCCACGCUGAUCUCGGCUGACACAGCUGUGUGGAGCCUGCACCACUGUGCCCUCCCAGAGACCCCCGUUGUUGCACCCCACCAAGCUGGUGCCCUCAUAGCCACCUCCAAGAGAAAUUUUUCCCACUGAGAAGUUCUGGGAAGGCGGGGAGAGGGGGCUGCUCCCUCGCCUUACUACUCUGGCUGGUGGCAACGGGCUGCCCUCGGUAAGUCA
rnacentral:lncRNA from 1 species